rnacentral:rRNA from 1 species
UACAGAGGGUGCAAGCGUUAAUCGGAAUUACUGGGCGUAAAGGGUGCGUAGGCGGUGCGGUAAGUCUGUAGUGAAAUCUCUGGGCUCAACUCAGAGUCUGCUAUAGAAACUGCCGUGCUUGAGUGUGGGAGAGGUGAGUGGAAUUCCCGGUGUAGCGGUGAAAUGCGUAGAUAGUCGGGAGGAACACCUGUGGCGAAAGCGGCUCACUGGGACCACAACGUGACGCUGAUGCACGAAAGCUAGGGGAGCAAACAGG